AGUUAAAAGCUCGUAGUCGGAUUUCGGGGCGGGGCGACCGGUCUGCCGAUGGGUAUGCACUGGUCGGCGCGUCCUUCCUUCCGGAGACCGUGCCUACUCUUAACUGAGCGGGGGCGGGAGACGGAUCGUUUACUUUGAAAAAAUCAGAGUGUUUCAAGCAGGCGUCUCGCCUUUGCAUGGAUUAGCAUGGGAUAAUGAAAUAGGACUUUGGUGCUAUUUUGUUGGUUUCGAACACCGAAGUAAUGAUUAACAGGGACAGUCAGGGGCACUCGUAUUCCGUCGAGAGAGGUGAAAUUCUCAGACCAAUGGAAGACGAACAACUGCGAAAGCAUUUGCCAGGGAUGUUUUCACUGAUCAAGAACGAAAGUUAGGGGAUCGAAGACGAUCAGAUACCGUCGUAGUCUUAACCAUAAACCAUGCCGACUAGGGAUCGGAGGAUGUUAGAUUUGACUCCUUCGGCACCUUACGGGAAACUAAAGUCUUUGGGUUCCGGGGGGAGUAUGGUCGCAAGGCUGAAACUUAAAGGAAUUGACGGAAGGGCACCACCAGGAGUGGAGCCUGCGGCUUAAUUUGACUCAACACGGGGAAACUUACCAGGUCCAGACAUUGUAAGGAUUGACAGAUUGAGAGCUCUUUCUUGAUUCGAUGGGUGGUGGUGCAUGGCCGUUCUUAGUUGGUGGAGUGAUUUGUCUGGUUAAUUCCGUUAACGAACGAGACCUUAGCCUGCUAAAUAGUUACGCGAACUCUCUGUUUGCGGCCAACUUCUUAGAGGGACAACUUGUUUUCAACA
rnacentral:rRNA from 1 species